rnacentral:rRNA from 1 species
AUUGAACGCUGGCGGAAUGCUUUACACAUGCAAGUCGAACGGUAGAGGGGGCAACCCCUCGAGAGUGGCGAACGGGUGAGUAAUAUAUCGGAACGUGCCCAGUCGUGGGGGAUAACGUAGCGAAAGUUACGCUAAUACCGCAUACGAUCUAAGGAUGAAAGCGGGGGAUCGCAAGACCUCGCGCGAUUGGAGCGGCCGAUAUCAGAUUAGGUAGUUGGUGGGGUAAAGGCUCACCAAGCCAACGAUCUGUAGCUGGUCUGAGAGGACGACCAGCCACACUGGAACUGGGACACGGUCCGGACUCCUACGGGAGGCAGCAGUGGGGAAUUUUGGACAAUGGACGAAAGUCUGAUCCAGCCAUUCCGCGUGCAGGAUGAAGGCCCUCGGGUUGUAAACUGCUUUUGUACGGAACGAAAAGGUCUCUCUUAAUACGGGGGACUCAUGACGGUACCGUAAGAAUAAGCACCGGCUAACUACGUGCCAGCCGCCGCCGUAA